CAUCGAUAAAGGCAAACACCGAGUGAUCGGGGGACGCAAAGUAACAGGGUCUUUAAAACACUUUAUACGUAUGUGGUUGAAGUAUCCUAAAUUGAAAAAGUUCUAAUACCGUUUUAAAGAUAGCCUUACUGCCGAA
rfam:Planctomycetes bacterium GWA2_39_15 gwa2_scaffold_831, whole genome shotgun sequence.